UUUCUACACAGAGAAUCACAAUCCUAUUUUGAAUGGAGUGGUGCCCUUCUUAUCCUGUUAGCCGCUGGGUAUCAUUUGAAAUCCAAGUUGGUUCUACAAAGCUAAAGUCAUACUUGAUUCAUUUCCUGAGAUUAUAAAACAUUUAUUUAUUUAUUUAUUUGAGACAGAGUCUCACUCUGUCACCCAGGCUAGAGUGCAGCAGUGUGGAUCUCAGCUCACUGCAGCCUCUGCCUCCCAGGUUCAAGCGAUUCUCCUGCCUCAGUCUCCCAAGUAGCUGAGAUUACAGGCACCUACCACCAUGCCCGCUAAUUUUUGUAUUUUUAGUAGAGAUAGGGUUUCACCAUGUUGGCUGGGCUGGUCUUGAACUCCUGACCUCAGGUGAUCCGCCUGCCUCGGCCUCCCAGAGUGCUGGGGUUACAGGUGUGAGCUACCACACCCGGUCAAACAUUUAUUUUUUAUAGAGUUAAAUUUAACAAUAUUUCAAUGAAGUCAGCCACUUAGAUCAUAUAUAUAUAUAUAUGUGUGUGUGUGCCAGGGCAAGAAAAGGCAGUGUAAUGCUAAACCGUAACAAUAGCCUGGCCCUCAGAAAUAUAUUUUUGUGUAUUCACAACUCUUGGUUCCAAUAGCAGUUCUCGUAGAACAUGAAAAUAAACCUGUUUCUCCAACCAAAAUAAGGCACUCACUCAUUCAGCAAAUAGCAAAUGUUUCUAAGCACUGGAAUUAAGUGCUUGGUAUGACAGAACAAGUUCUAAACCCAUCAGCGAGUCUGGAGUCCUCAGCCAUCUAUUUCCUAAUUUGGGGUCUCAAGUCUGUGCUAUGAUGCUAAGGAGAUUCCACAAGAGGUAGGAGGGCAGUAUGUAUUAAGUGACAACAGAAUGAGGCUGCAGAAUUUGAAACCAAAUCCACUGAGAACUGUGAAUCUCUCUGCUGUCACUGUCAACGACCUCAACUCAUCAUGUGUCUGUCUCUUCAGUGUGAAGCUUAUGUUUUCAAAAUCCUACUUUAAUCCUGGAAAUUAAUUCUCUCUCAUUUGGAGAAUGCUGGUAGUUUUGGUACCAAAUAUAAUGCCUCAGGCUAUUUUGAAAGGUUAAAUCUGCCAAGUACCUUCAAAAACCACUUAUUUUAAGAGUACUUCAUUCCACUGAAGCCAUAAUUUACAAUUCAGAAAUUCUGCUGCUAAAGUUAUACUUAAAGAAUUGGCCCUAGCUAUACUACAAAGAAGACAAAUAUGUUACAGAAUGUUUUACACCAUUCAUCUAUUCCCAUUAAAUAUUAUUCAUAAAUUAUGACAUAGAGUCUACACUAACAUUAUUGUUCAAUGUUUUGCAUUUCUCUGCUGGUUCUACAUAUACCAAUGAUAUUUUUUAAUUUUGUGGGAAUAUGAUACAUUACCAAAAAACUCAAAAUAUAUGCACCUGAUUCAAAUUAAGCUCCAUGUUCAUCUUAACCCAUUGAUGCCUAGUGUUCCAUUACUGCAACGCCGAGCUUGUGGAAUUUAUUUGUAUCCUAUUGCUUAAGGUCACCAUCAAGGCCUGAUUUUUCACAAAAAAAAUUGCAACCUCCAGCAUAAAUGGGUUAAAAUCAGAAGAAUAAAUACACUUUUGAGAUGGCUUAUGUUCCAUAAUUUUUCAUGGAGUCCAACUAAAUUUAAUAUCUUGACAAACAUUACCAAGUUAAAUGUUUUGACUCUGAAGUUCAUAGGCCUCAGAAAAUACUUUAAAGUAAUAUACCGCAAUUUACGCUUAAAUACUUAGAAUAAAGAAGACAAGAACUAUGGGGAGUCAUAUCUGGGUUUUAAGCAAAUCAAUAAGCUUUGAAAGUACAUUUCCCACAGAUGUUCAUAAGAUGAUUCUUAAGUUUUAGAUUUUGCUGCAUUCAAAUUUUAAACAUGGAAAACCAUAUGCUGGUCUUACGUGCAAGCAGCGAAACCCUUCCUCCUUUCCCGUGUAUGUCAGACGGCCCUGUUCUUCUCAGUUCAUAGGAAGCUUCAGAGAAAACGUAACUAAUUCAUAGAUACCCUUUUUCUACUCUAAGUCUUAAACGUGCUCCUCUAUGUAUCCCAAAUUUGUCCUGUGUCAACACAGAGAUCCUGUCGGCUACCCACAGCUCGACUCUUCCUUGAUUUUUUUCUUUGCCUUUCCUUUUUUUUUUUUUUUUUUUUUUGAGACAGAGUCUCGUUCUGUUACCCAGGCUGAAGUGCACUGAUGUAAUCUCGG
ensembl:lncRNA